rnacentral:rRNA from 1 species
AGAUUGAACGCUGGCGGCAUGCCUAACACAUGCAAGUCGAACGGGAGUAGCAAUACUCUAGUGGCGGACGGGUGAGGAAUACGUAGGAAUUUGCCCUUAAGUGGGGGAUAACCCGGGGAAACCCGGAUUAAUACCGCAUGACCUCGAAAGAGCAAAGUGGGGGAUCGCAAGACCUCACGCUUUUGGAGAAGCCUACGUCGGAUUAGCUAGUUGGUGAGGUAAUGGCUCACCGAAGGCGACGAUCCGUAACUGGUCUGAGAGGAUGAUCAGUCA